GUGGGUUAUAGUUUUCUUCUAUUUGGUCUGAUUGUUGCCUCUUUGACAUGUUCCAAGUUCCACGUUUCCAUUUUCAAUUUAAGUAAGAUGUCCAAAGGGGAACAUUGUGGUGUACAGCCACCGACCUUAUAAUCAUGUUUCGUUUUUAUGUUGUUGUUUUUAGAUUGUUAAUGUUCAACUCGUGUUCGGGUUGGAUAGUUGAUAGAUAUAAGCAGAUGAGGUAUGAGUGCCAAUGAGACAACUAUCCA
rnacentral:lncRNA from 1 species